GUGAGUAACGCGUGGGCAACCUGCCCCAAAGCUCGGGAUAACACUCCGAAAGGAGUGCUAAUACCGGAUGUAGUUGCGGUACUGCAUGGUACUGCAAAAAAAGGAGAAAUCCACUUUGGGAUGGGCCCGCGUCUGAUUAGCUAGUUGGUGGGGUGACGGCCUACCAAGGCGACGAUCAGUAGCCGACCUGAGAGGGUGAUCGGCCACACUGGGACUGAGACACGGCCCAGACUCCUACGGGAGGCAGCAGUCGGGAAUAUUGGUCAAUGGGGGAAACCCUGAACCAGCAAUGCCGCGUGAGUGACGAAGGUUUUCGGAUCGUAAAGCUCUGUCUUUGGGGACGAAUAAAUGACGGUACCCGAGGAGGAAGCCCCGGCUAACUACGUGCCAGCAGCCGCGGUAAUACGUAGGGGGCGAGCGUUGUCCGGAAUUACUGGGCGUAAAGGGCGAGUAGGCGGUUUAAUAAGUCAGAUGUGAAAUGCCAGGGCUCAACCCUGGAACUGCAUUUGAAACUAUUAGACUUGAGUGCAGGAGAGGAAAGUGGAAUUCCCAGUGUAGCGGUGAAAUGCGUAGAUAUUGGGAGGAACACCAGUGGCGAAGGCGACUUUCUGGACUGUAACUGACGCUGAGGCGCGAAAGCGUGGGGAGCAAACAGGAUUAGAUACCCU
rnacentral:rRNA from 1 species